rnacentral:rRNA from 1 species
AUGCCCGGCCGGCCACCACUCGUCGUCGGGGCUAAUUGCUGCAGGAAACUCCGUGGCGACCUGUUUUUGCAAAGAAGAGACACCCACCGGUGCUUUUCACGGGGAGCCGCCCCGUUUUUCUUCUUCAAAUCAGCGCCACCUCGCUGCUGUUGCAGGAGGAGCCAACCGGCGGCAAGCCCGCCGGUCGUUGCGGCGACGCUUGCUGCAGAGCAACACGGGAAAGGGAGGUACGUGCUUCGCCGGAAGGUUCGGUGUUGCGAAGUGUCGAUGAUGAGAUCUCGAAGCCGACAUCACUGCUGCAUCCCCCACUUCAUCCCGGCGCUGGAGUUGCAAUGGAGCUUCGCGGAGGCGGCGGCGCUGCGUUGGAGCUCCGCCGUGGCUGCAAUGGAGCUCGGCUGGAGUUGCAAUGGAGCUCUCUCGGAGCCUCCGGAGCUUUGCCAGGGCUGCAAUGAAGCUCGGCCGGAGUUGCAGUGGAGCUUUGCCGGAGCGUCGGUGCUGCGUUGGAGCUCCGUCGGGGCUGCAAUUGAGCUCAGCCGGAGUUGCAAUGAAACUUCGCCGGAGCGUUGGUGCCGCGUUGGAACUCAUCGGACGCCAUCGGUGCUUCAUUGGAGCUUCGCGCGAGGCUGCAGUGGCGCUGGGUUGAAGCUGGCGCGCUCGCUGCUGCCUGCUAUGAUCCAACGACAGCCAGCAUCCUGA